rnacentral:rRNA from 1 species
GUUUGUAGCCAAACUAGCUAAGCAGGGUCAGGUUGGGCUAGUACUUGCCUGAGAGAUCUCCAAGGAACACCCAGGUGCUGCAGGAA